rnacentral:misc_RNA from 1 species
UACGAAGGGCCCGAGCGUUGCGCGGUAUCAUUGGGCUUAAAGAGUGCGUAGGCGGAGCUGCAAGUAUCUUGUGAAAUCCCCCGGCUCAACCGGGGAAUUGCUCGGUAGACUGCGGUUCUUGAGAUCGGUAGGGGCAAUCGGAACAAUAGGUGUAGCGGUGAAAUGCGUAGAUAUCUAUUGGAACGCCAAAGGCGAAGGCAGAUUGCUGGGCCGAUUCUGACGCUGAGGCACGAAAGCGUGGGUAGCAGACAGG